UGUUUGUUAAAGCUCAGCAUCGCUGCCCUGCAGCCUCUGCCUCCAGGAGUGAGUGUGUGGGUCACAGCCACCUCGGGGAUUGUGUAGGGCUGUGUUCUAGUGGGCACAGAGCACAGAAAACUCUGCGACACGCUGCAAAUCCUUUUUCUGCAUAUGAAGCAUCUCUUUGCUGUCACUUGGCCUCCCUCUCAGAAUCAAAAUCCAAAGGACUGGGCAGAGAGAGGGGUUGGUAUGACAGCGGGCUCUGCUGCUGUGGGACCCUUCUCAGGAAGGCAGAUGCACCUGGCAGAGGAGGAGGAGGUGAUAAAGCAGCUGGAGCUGCUCAGAGCUGCUGGCUGGAGGUGAGGAGCCUGCUGGGGUGGGAGGUCUGACUCUCCUGAGCACAGCAGCUUCCAAGUGCCAUCUAAAACUUCCCUGUGCCCGUGCAACGAAGGGCAAGAACUCCUGGAUGUCCCAAGCAGGUGUUGAACAACCAUCAGGCUCCGAGCUUCCCCUCGCCUGCUGCAGAAUCCCUCCGCAAGAACCUGAAGAUUCCCCGUUUGAUCACUGAAUGUUUAAAGAAAAGAAGUAACUGAGUUCUCUGCAGAUUGCACACAUACAGAAUAAAACAGCAGCCUUUUAUUUUUGCAAGUAAAAUUUGACAUAUUUUGGGACAGAAUUCCUCAUGCAUAAAAUAACACCAUGAGUCUUGCUGGGUACGGUUUACUUUUUGUAUUUUGCUUUACACUUCUCAUGUAAAUUCGGUGCUGGAAUAAGGUGUUAAGUUGACGUCUCCAAGGAACCAAGUUCCAGAAGCAGCACAACACAACAGCAGAUCUCUUUCAAUUUUCUUAAAACUGGUAUCAAGAGUGCCAGUUUCAUCAGGCAAGAGGGAAUUGAAGAGUCAUAAUCCAGACAGCCCUUGGUGGUUCUGCAGACAAAUCUGGAUUCUCUGUGCUUCAUGGGGAUGCUUUAUAACCAUAAACUGAAAGAAAAAACUCUGGAUUACUGAAUAGCCACCUGAAAAUUGUAGUUCCUACAGUUACAGAGAGCCCCUAAGGGGACAGGGAGGCCUCCAGGUCUGUUCUCCAUCCACCAUGAUGUGGGAGAAGAUCCUUUUGAAGGUGAGCCUGGUCGCCUGAGAGCAUGAAACAAUAGGAAGCUAACUCUAUUCAUCCCACAGGAAAUCUGAUGAUAACUACAUCACUGUCAGCUCAGUUCAUUAUUUCGCUGUUUCUUCUGGCAGGAGUGUUCAGAUAAGAUUUUUGCUCACUAUUGUUGGAUAUAGUGGGGGAUUCUGAUUCAGGGAACAAUGGGAAAGAAAUAGCACUGAAGAGCAAGUCUCCUCCACAUCAGAAAAUGUCUUGCCAUUUCAGCCUUCUCUAAAGGGAGGCAGGACUCAUUCCCUUCUCUUGGCAGAAGCCUCAAACAUGAGUCGAUAACCCCUCAGCUUCUCUUCGGUUUCAAUAAUGCAUCGUGUAGUAAACUCUGUGGCUAACUGAUGACUGAAAACCUGAAAGAAAUUAAUAGGAAUGUAAAAAUAGCAAGAACAUCUUGCCAAUUGCAUUAUGGAGCAUCACAAUUAUUUGAACAACAACAAAUUAUUUGAACAACAACAACAACAACAAAAUCAGUUUAUUAUAUUUAUCUGAAGUGCUGUCAAGAAUGUAGCAAUGAAGUAUGAAGAAAUGAAGAGGUUCUGGGGAUGAAUAUCAGUCCAGCUUGCCAUAGAAUAAAUAUCAGCAUUUAUCUCUGUCAGAGGAAGAUAAAGAUAAUUUCUUAUGUUAUAAGUUAUUUCAAAUAUUGAGCCCUGUUCGGACGUUUCAUGAGAGAUUAUCUGCACUUGCUUUGAAACCCAAUAGUGGCCAUUAAUUGUCUCUCCUGACACCAAAAUUAAUUUCUCUUAAAUGAGAACGCAUUUCUAAUUGGACACUUUCUUCCCUAACAAAUUGUUUACAGUACCUCUGCAAGGAUUCUGAAGUCAUCCCUUUGCUUUGAUGUUGCUGAUUAAUUACAGCCCACGUGGUUCUUAGUAGCUGCAAUUUGAGUAACAUACUUUGCUGUGAAAUGUUCAUCUUAAUCACACACUCCCCCAGCCAAGCUUCUGCUUGAGAAGGGAACUGAACUUCUCUUGCUGCAUGUGAUGCCAGGCUGGGUUGUGACUUUAUACCCCUCCUUUCUCUCCAAGUGAGUUCAGAGCUUCUGAAUGUUCAGAGACUGACAGCACCCAAAAUGAAGUUCUCUCUUUAGCCACAGAACAGAUCCAGAACUGGCAGCUCAGAGCAGCUUUCCCUCUCCCAUCUUGUAGCGUCUCUGCUCGGCACGGAGCAGCAAUGAUGGGGAGAACUGAGCUGGCUGGGGCAUCACCGUGUUAGCACAGGGGUCUGCCACAGCUAAUUAGCCAGGCUGAGACACAGGGUUAAUUAGUGUGGGCAGGAUGCUGCACUAAGGGAGCAGGGCUGCUGUUUGCACCUCUCCACAUGACACCGAGUUGUGCCACGUGGAUAUACCCCCUAUGCUUUAAAUGUGAUUUUUUUGGUGGGAGAUCACCAAGUCCUUGAACUUCUGGUGGGGAGGAUAAAGGAUACCAGUUCUGCUGCUUGCUCAGGUGUGGAAACCUGCCCGAAUUGAGCCACCCAGAUAAUUUUGCAGGAACCCACUCAACAGCUGUCAGAUAACAAGAUUUUAGGAUGUUCCGAAUAUCAGCUGGAUUCUUGCUUUUAUGUUUUAUUAAUGAUUUUAAGGCAAGAAGAUUUUUAUCAGUACCUUGGAGAUAUCCCUGUUCCACAUAUUUUCUCUUUGUAAUGCCCCCUUACAAUGCACCUAUAAUGAAGAUGAAGUGAACAUACUGCCUUGGCUUGGGCAAGCUGCCAGUUAAGGAAUUUUUCUUAAAAGGAACGAGCAACAUCGGCACGGCAAUGCCCUACAAAUGAGCACACAAAAUGAUGCAGCCUUUUCCUUCUAGAUGUGGCAAAACAGGAGGAGGAAUAACAAGGGGGAAAGGAGCUCCUGCUCUCUUCUUCGGCCAUUAUCUGUAGGUGUUGAAGCAGAGCCUGCCUUAACUCCCCAAGGAGCCAGUGGAGCUCUGAGUGCUCUGAAUUGCCUGUUGUCUGUUCAGGAGGACUUGGCUCCUCAUUUAUGCAAGAAAAAGCAGAUCCCUGGAGCAAAAAAAUUGUGAAUGCCCUCCUUUGAGUUUCUAAGGCAAAGCUAUGCGAUGUACUUUGUUCUAUAGGGGCAAGUUCCAAAUGAUUCCUUAUAUAUUUAUGGGUUUGGUUUUAGGCCACUGUUUUGUCGUUUGUUUAAAAAUAGUAAAACAACUGUCAAACCUUUUUUUUACUGUUCCAGGUAGGAGGUGAAAUUAGAACUCCUUGCACUUGGGCACCACAAUGACAGGGCUCUUGGAGGUAAUUAAAAUAAGUUCAAUAUUGGCAUGUAAAAAAAAUGUUUUAAAAU